rnacentral:rRNA from 1 species
GACGAACGCUGGCGGCGUGCCUAACACAUGCAAGUCGAACGCAGUGGGGACGGGUGAGUAACACGUGGGUAACCUCCCAUAAGAGGGGAUAACACUUGGAAACAGGUGCUAAACUGAUACUGAUGGAUGUACUCGCGGUGCAUGAGCCAGUCGGGGAGGUAACGGCUCACCAAGGCCACGAUGCCUAGCCGGCCGGAGAGGAUGAGCGGCAACACUGGGACUGAGACACGGCCCAGACUCCUACGGGAGUCAGCAGUAGGGAAUCUUCGGCAAUGGGCGAAAGCCUGACCGAGCAACGCCGCGUGAGUGAAGAAGGUUUUCGGAUUGUAAAACUCUGUUGUUAGAGAAGCGGUAUCUAACCAGGAAGCCACGGCUAACUACGUGCCAGCAGCCGCGGUAAUAC